rnacentral:lncRNA from 1 species
GCUCUAAAAAUGGACUAUCUAAAUUUUUGAGGUCGGUAUUAUUCUCUUGGUAGAUCUUCCUCCAGUCAAUAUUCAUCUCACUUUAUGUGGCUGUUCCUAGGAGGUUAGCAAAAUAAUCAAAAAAUGCUUUCUUUAAAAGCAUGGGAUCAUGAGUUGCCUCUCCUUGAUGCUCAAGGUAAGUGAUUGUAUUUUUCCAUUUCCUUGUAGAUGCC